rnacentral:rRNA from 1 species
AUUGAACGCUGGCGGCAUGCCUUACACAUGCAAGUCGAACGGCAGCACGGGAGCAAUCCUGGUGGCGAGUGGCGAACGGGUGAGUAAUAUAUCGGAACGUGCCCAGUCGUGGGGGAUAACGCAGCGAAAGCUGUGCUAAUACCGCAUACGAUCUAAGGAUGAAAGCGGGGGAUCGCAAGACCUCGCGCGAUUGGAGCGGCCGAUAUCAGAUUAGCUAGUUGGUGGGGUAAAGGCCCACCAGGGCGACGAUCUGUAGCUGGUCUGAGAGGACGACCAGCCACACUGGAACUGAGACACGGUCCAGACUCCUACGGGAGGCAGCAGUGGGGAAUUUUGGACAAUGGGCGCAAGCCUGAUCCAGCAAUGCCGCGUGCAGGAUGAAGGCCUUCGGGUUGUAAACUGUUUUUGUACGGAACGAAACGGCCCUUUCUAAUACAGGGGGCUAAUGACGGUACCGUAAGAAUAAGCACCGGCUAACUACGUGCCAGCCGCCGCCGUAA